AAGACCCCAUGGAGCUUUAAACCUGACAGCACCCGCUCAUUCUAUACCCCAUUAUUUGCCCGACCCCUGUCUGCUCAGUUUUAGGUUGGGGUGACCACGGAGUAUAAAAUAACCUCCAUGAAGAAGGGGAUAUUUCCCUUAUUAGAGAACCACACUUCCAAGAACUAAUAAAUUAAUUUUCAAUGACCCGAUACCCGAUAAUCGAUCAACGAACCAAGUUACCCUGGGGAUAACAGCGCAAUCCACCCUGAAAGCCCUUAUUAACAGGUGGGUUUACGACCUCGAUGUUGGAUCAGGGUAUCCCAGUGGUGCAGCAGCUACUGAGGGUUCGUUUGUUCAACGAUUA
rnacentral:rRNA from 1 species